rnacentral:rRNA from 1 species
UACAGAGGUCUCAAGCGUUGUUCGGAUUCAUUGGGCGUAAAGGGUGUGUAGGUGGCGCGCUAAGUCGGGUGUGAAAUUUCGGAGCUUAACUCCGAAACUGCAUUCGAUACUGGCGUGCUUGAGGACUGGAGAGGAGACUGGAAUUUACGGUGUAGCAGUGAAAUGCGUAGAUAUCGUAAGGAAGACCAGUGGCGAAGGCGGGUCUCUGGACAGUUCCUGACACUGAGACACGAAGGCCAGGGGAGCAAACAGG